rnacentral:rRNA from 1 species
AGUUUGAUCAUGGCUCAGGAUGAACGCUGGCGGUAUGCUUAACACAUGCAAGUCGAACGGUCCUUUCGGGGAUAGUGGCGGACGGGUGAGUAACGCGUGAGAAUCUGCCUUCAGGACGGGGACAACAGUUGGAAACGGCUGCUAAAACCCGAUGUGCCUAUGGGUGAAAUAUUUAUAGCCUGAAGAGGAGCUCGCGUCUGAUUAGCUAGUUGGUGCGGUAAUGGCGUACCAAGGCGACGAUCAGUAACUGGUCUGAGAGGAUGACCAGUCACACUGGGACUGAGACACGGCCCAGACUCCUACGGGAGGCAGCAGUGGGGAAUUUUCCGCAAUGGGCGCAAGCCUGACGGAGCAAUACCGCGUGAGGGAGGAAGGCUCUUGGGUCGUAAACCUCUUUUAUCAGGGAAGAACACAAUGACGGUACCUGAUGAAUCAGCAUCGGCUAACUCUGUGCCAGCAGCCGCGGUAAUACAGAGGAUGCAAGCGUUAUCCGGAAUUAUUGGGCGUAAAGCGUCCGCAGGUGGUUUUGAAAGUUUGCUGUCAAAGCGCGAGGCUCAACUUCGUAUCGGCGGUGAAAACUUCAAGACUAGAGUUUGGUAGGGGUCACGGGAAUUCCCAGUGUAGCGGUGAAAUGCGUAGAUAUUGGGAAGAACACCAGCGGCGAAAGCGCGUGACUGGGCCUGAACUGACACUCAUGGACGAAAGCUAGGGGAGCGAAAGGGAUUAGAUACCCCUGUAGUCCUAGCCGUAAACGAUGACAACUAGUGUUGCCCGUAUCGACCCGGGCAGUGCCGUAGCCAACGCGUUAAGUUGUCCGCCUGGGGAGUA